rnacentral:sRNA from 1 species
GUGUGCCGCUCGCACCCUCCGGCUCUUGCGCGCCCUCCACCUUCCCUGACGGAUGCUCACGACGUGUUGUUGGUC